UUUGAUCCUGGCUCAGGACGAACGCUGGCGGCGUGCUUAACACAUGCAAGUCGAACGAUGAUGCCCAGCUUGCUGGGUGGAUUAGUGGCGAACGGGUGAGUAACACGUGAGUAACCUGCCCCUGACUCUGGGAUAAGCGUUGGAAACGACGUCUAAUACUGGAUAUGAUCACUGGCCGCAUGGUCUGGUGGUGGAAAGAUUUUUUGGUUGGGGAUGGACUCGCGGCCUAUCAGCUUGUUGGUGAGGUAAUGGCUCACCAAGGCGACGACGGGUAGCCGGCCUGAGAGGGUGACCGGCCACACUGGGACUGAGACACGGCCCAGACUCCUACGGGAGGCAGCAGUGGGGAAUAUUGCACAAUGGGCGAAAGCCUGAUGCAGCAACGCCGCGUGAGGGAUGACGGCCUUCGGGUUGUAAACCUCUUUUAGUAGGGAAGAAGCGAAAGUGACGGUACCUGCAGAAAAAGCACCGGCUAACUACGUGCCAGCAGCCGCGGUAAUACGUAGGGUGCAAGCGUUGUCCGGAAUUAUUGGGCGUAAAGAGCUCGUAGGCGGUUUGUCGCGUCUGCUGUGAAAUCCCGAGGCUCAACCUCGGGCUUGCAGUGGGUACGGGCAGACUAGAGUGCGGUAGGGGAGAUUGGAAUUCCUGGUGUAGCGGUGGAAUGCGCAGAUAUCAGGAGGAACACCGAUGGCGAAGGCAGAUCUCUGGGCCGUAACUGACGCUGAGGAGCGAAAGCGUGGGGAGCGAACAGGAUUAGAUACCCUGGUAGUCCACGCCGUAAACGUUGGGCGCUAGAUGUAGGGACCUUUCCACGGUUUCUGUGUCGUAGCUAACGCAUUAAGCGCCCCGCCUGGGGAGUACGGCCGCAAGGCUAAAACUCAAAGGAAUUGACGGGGGCCCGCACAAGCGGCGGAGCAUGCGGAUUAAUUCGAUGCAACGCGAAGAACCUUACCAAGGCUUGACAUACACCGGAAACGGCCAGAGAUGGUCGCCCCCUUGUGGUCGGUGUACAGGUGGUGCAUGGUUGUCGUCAGCUCGUGUCGUGAGAUGUUGGGUUAAGUCCCGCAACGAGCGCAACCCUCGUUCUAUGUUGCCAGCGCGUUAUGGCGGGGACUCAUAGGAGACUGCCGGGGUCAACUCGGAGGAAGGUGGGGAUGACGUCAAAUCAUCAUGCCCCUUAUGUCUUGGGCUUCACGCAUGCUACAAUGGCCGGUACAAAGGGCUGCGAUACCGUAAGGUGGAGCGAAUCCCAAAAAGCCGGUCUCAGUUCGGAUUGAGGUCUGCAACUCGACCUCAUGAAGUCGGAGUCGCUAGUAAUCGCAGAUCAGCAACGCUGCGGUGAAUACGUUCCCGGGCCUUGUACACACC
rnacentral:rRNA from 1 species